CGACCAAAAAGAAAAGAAAGAAAGAAGAAGAAGAAGAAGAAGAAGAAGAAGAGAAAAGGGAAGAAAGGAAAGAAGUUUUGGCACGUGCACGCCUCGGAUGCCUUGCCAAGCCAACUCGACUCCAUAACCCGGGCCUUGAGUUCGACGAUACAAGUAUCGUUUGUCGUUUGAUCAUAGACAACAAGGUUCCUCAGCUAGUGGCGAAUAGAGCGAGUGCGCCGUCGUGGGAAACUUUUGGGGAGUUCUAUUUUGUUUUUGGUAUGGUUUAAGGAAGUGGUGCAAAUGAUCUUUACUAGUGGUUGAAUC